UAACGCGUGGGGAACCUGCCCUAUACAGGGGGAUAACAGCUGGAAACGGUUGCUAAUACCGCAUAAGCGCACAGAAUCGCAUGAUUCAGUGUGAAAAGCCCUGGCAGUAUAGGAUGGUCCCGCGUCUGAUUAGCUGGUUGGUGAGGUAACGGCUCACCAAGGCGACGAUCAGUAGUCGGCUUGAGAGAGUGAACGGCCACAUUGGGACUGAGACACGGCCCAA
rnacentral:rRNA from 1 species